ACUUUUUAUCUAUGGGGGGAGGUGAGUCAUAGUGAGCAACAGUAUUCUACACUCUAGCCACAUUGAUCAGAACAGUGCGCGGACCCACAAAACAGUGCGCCAGGCAUUGCUAAAGAGACGCCAGCUGUCGACAAGACCCCGCAGGCAAUUCAGAUCAAGGGAGAUGCAUGGAAGAGUGCUGGUGUAUUGAUAGAGAGAUUUAAUUUCUUCCCGUGUAUGGAGAGUGUCGAUGUAGAGUUGAUCGGUGUGGGGGUGAUUCUUUUGUGUUUGCCUGUUUAGGUUUGUACUAAACUGUUAUGCAGUUUUCUUCUUUAAUGGAUGAUAAAAAAAACAUGCAGUGCGCAAUGUUGUAGCUGGUCGGCAGUCUUAUUUGUUAUUAUGAACGACGACUUGUCGUGA